GAUGAACGCUGGCGGCGUGCCUAAUACAUGCAAGUCGAGCGAACAGACGAGGAGCUUGCUCCUCUGACGUUAGCGGCGGACGGGUGAGUAACGCGUGGAUAACCUACCUAUAAGACUGGGAUAACUUCGGGAAACCGGAGCUAAUACCGGAUAAUAUAUUGAACCGCAUGGUUCAAUAGUGAAAGACGGUUUUGCUGUCACUUAUAGAUGGAUCCGCGCCGCAUUAGCUAGUUGGUAAGGUAACGGCUUACCAAGGCGACGAUGCGUAGCCGACCUGAGAGGGUGAGCGCCCACACGGGAAAUGAGCAAGGGCCAAGACUCCGACGGGAGGCAGAAGGAGGGAAUCUUCGGAAAGGGGGGAAGGUUGGACGGGACAACGCGGCGGGAGUGAGGAGGGUGUCGGGAUCGAAAAACUUUGUAAUUGGGGAAAAAAAAAUGGGUAAGUAACUAGGCACGUCUGGACGGUACUUAACAAGAAAGCCACGGCUAACUCCGUG
rnacentral:rRNA from 1 species